rnacentral:rRNA from 1 species
AUUGAGCGCUGGCGGCAUGCUUUACACAUGCAAGUCGAACGGUAACAGGUUAAGCUGACGAGUGGCGAACGGGUGAGUAAUGCAUCGGAACGUGCCCGAUCGUGGGGGAUAACGCAGCGAAAGCUGCGCUAAUACCGCAUACGAUCUGAGGAUGAAAGUGGGGGACCGUAAGGCCUCGCUCGAUCGGAGCGGCCGAUGUCAGAUUAGGUAGUUGGUGGGGUAAAGGCUCACCAAGCCGACGACCUGUAGCUGGUCUGAGAGGACGACCAGCCACACUGGGACUGAGACAUGGCCCAGACUCCUACGGGAGGCAGCAGUGGGGAAUUUUGGACAAUGGGCGCAAGCCUGAUCCAGCAAUGCCGCGUGCAGGAAGAAGGCCUUCGGGUUGUAAACUGCUUUUGUACGGAGCGAAAAGGCUCUCUCUAAUACAGGGGGCUCAUGACGGUACCGUAAGAAUAAGCACCGGCUAACUACGUGCCAGCCGCCGCCGUAA